GGAUUUUCGGACCUUCUGCUCAAGGAUGGGAUCACGUCCUAUUAGUUUGUUGGUGGGGUAACGGCCUACCAAGACCGCGAUGGGUAGCCGGCCUGAGAGGCAACACAGCCAAACUCGACAGAAACACGGUCCAGAAUCCUACGAGCAGCAUGCUGAUAUCGCAUGGCGAAAGCGUGACGUGCGACGCGCGGCAGAUGAAGGCCUCGGUGUAACUGCUGUCAGUUAAUAGAAAACCACAUAGUAAUAGCUAUGUAUGAUCAUAAGCAGAGGAGCACAGGCUAAUCUCGUGCAGCAGCGCGGUAAUACGAGAUGUGCGAGCGUGUUCGGAAUUACUGGGCAUAAAGGGUCCGUAGGUGGCGCUAUAAGUCAGGUGUGAAAUCCCCCGGCUCAACCGGGGAAUUGCUCUUGAUACUGUAGUGCUUGAGGAUGAAAGAGGCAAGUGGAAUUCCAGGUGUAGCGGUGGAAUGCGUAGAUAUCUGGGAGAACGCCAAAGGCGAAGGCAGCUUGCUGGGUCAUUUCUGACACUGAGGGACGAAAGCUAGGGGAGCAAACAGGAUUAGAUACCCUGGUAGUCCUAGCCGUAAACGAUGGGCACUAGGUAUUGGGAAGUCUGAUCUUCUCGAUGCCUGAGCUAAUGCAUUAAGUGCCCCGCCUGGGGAGUAUGGUCGCAAGGCUAAAACUCAAAGGAAUUGACGGGGGCUCACACAAGCGGUGGAGCAUGUUGUUUAAUUCGAAGCAACGCGAAGAACCUUACCUAGACUUGACAUGUUAGUAGUACAAACCUGAAAGGGGGCGGAUCUCUUAACGGAGAAGCUAACACAGGUGCUGCAUGGCUGUCGUCAGCUCGUGUCGUGAGACGUUGGGUUAAGUCCCGUAACGAGCGAAACCCCUGUCGUAUGUUGCCAGCAAGUAAUGUUGGGCACUCUUACGAGACUGCCGGUGUUAAACCGGAGGAAGCGGGGACGACGUCAAGUCAUCAUGGUCCUUACGUCUAGGGCUACAAACGUGCUACAAUGGUAGUACAGAGAGCCGCAAUACCGCGAGGUGGAGCAAAUCUUCAAGCCUACCCAAGUUCAGAUGGCAGCUGCAAUUCGCCUGCAUGAGUGGAAUCGCUAGUAAUCCCGAUCAGAAACGCCCGGUGAUACGUUCCUGAGCCUUGUAAACACCGCCCGUCAAGCCACCCAAGCUGGAAGCACCCGAAGUCCGGCGCCAAUAGUCCGGCCGAAGGUGAGUCUGGUGAGGGGGACUAAGUCGUAACAAGGUAACC
rnacentral:rRNA from 1 species